AUUGAACGCUGGCGGCAUGCUUUACACAUGCAAGUCGAACGGCAGCGGGGACUUCGGUCCGCCGGCGAGUGGCGAACGGGUGAGUAAUGCAUCGGAACGUGCCUAUCAGUGGGGGAUAACGCCUCGAAAGGAGUGCUAAUACCGCAUAUUCUCCGAGGAGGAAAGCAGGGGACCUUCGGGCCUUGCGCUGAUAGAGCGGCCGGUGUCGGAUUAGCUAGUUGGUGAGGUAAAGGCUCACCAAGGCGACGAUCCGUAGCGGGUCUGAGAGGAUGAUCCGCCACACUGGGACUGAGACACGGCCCAGACUCCGACGGGAGGCAGCAGUGGGGAAUUUUGGACAAUGGGCGAAAGCCUGAUCCAGCCAUGCCGCGUGAGUGAAGAAGGCCUGCGGGUUGUAAAGCUCUUUUGUCCGGGGGGAAAUCCUGGCCUCUAAUACAGGUCGGGGAUGACAGUACUGGAAGAAUAAGCACCGGCUAACUACGUGCCAGCCGCCGCCGUAACAC
rnacentral:rRNA from 1 species